AGUCGUAACAAGGUCUCCGUUGGUGAACCAGCGGAGGGAUCAUUAUCGAGUUAUUCAACUCCCAAACCCUAUGUGAACUUACCACUUGUUGCUUCGGCGCGCGCUUCGGCGCCGCCGAGGACACUUAAACUCUUUGUUUUUAUAAGCAUUUCUGGGUGGCCGAAAGGCAAAAAUACAAAUGAAUCAAAACUUUCAACAACGGAUCUCUUGGUUCUGGCAUCGAUGAAGAACGCAGCGAAAUGCGAUAAGUAAUGUGAAUUGCAGAAUUCAGUGAAUCAUCGAAUCUUUGAACGCACAUUGCGCCCGCCAGCAUUCUGGCGGGCAUGCCUGUUCGAGCGUCAUUUCAACCCUCGAGCCCGACUCUUUUGAGGACGGCUCGGCGUUGGGGGACGGCAGACUCCCCCCGGCAUCUCGCCGGGGACGCCGCCCCCGAAAUCUAGUGGCGGCCCUCCGAGGCGACCUCUGCGUAGUAACUUGUUCUCGCACCGGAAAGCUCAGAGCGGCCACGCCGUAAAACCCCAACUUUUUUCAGGUUGACCUCGAAUCAGGUAGGACUACCCGCUGAACUUAAGCAUAUCAAUA
rnacentral:rRNA from 1 species